ACUACCUAUUCACCGAUAGUGAACCAGUACCGUGAGGGAAAGGUGAAAAGCACCCCGGAGGGGAGUGAAAUAGUACCUGAAACCAUAUGCCUACAAGAAGUCGGAGCCCGUUAAUGGGUGACGGCGUGCCUUUUGUAGAAUGAGCCGGCGAGUUAUGAUAGCAUGCAAGGUUAAGUAGAAAAUACGGAGCCGUAGUGAAAGCGAGCCUUAAUAGGGCGUUUAGUAUGUUGUCAUAGACCCGAAACCAGGUGAUCUAGCCAUGAGCAGGUUGAAGUUGAGGUAAAACUUAAUGGAGGACCGAACCGACGUUCGUUGAAAAGACCGCGGAUGACUUGUGGCUAGGGGUGAAAUUCCAAUCGAACCUGGAGAUAGCUGGUUCUCCCCGAUAUAGCUUUAGGGCUAGCGUCGAGGUUAGCAAGUUGGAGGUAGAGCACUAAAUGUAUGAUGGCCCCACCUAGGGGUACUGAAUGCAAUUAAACUCCGAAUGCCAAUUUUGUAUACUCGGCAGUCAGUACAUGGGUGAUAAGGUCCAUGCACGUAAGGGAAACAGCCCAGAUCAUCAGCUAAGGUCCCAAAAUUUAUGCUAAGUGUGUAAGGAUGU
rnacentral:rRNA from 1 species